rnacentral:lncRNA from 1 species
UAAUGAGUAAGGUUGAUGACCCGUCAGAGGAGUAGCCCAGACCAGAGCAUCAAGCAUUUCUUCUUAUGACAGAGAAUACAAAAUCGAAUCCAAUUUGAAUCAUGGUAAUACUUCCGGGCACCACUCGGCGAAGCGAAAACUAGACAAUAUCCCGAACCCCGUAGGCAAAUCGAAACCCAAUUCCGUGUACAGUAACAGAGACGGCCUGGUAAACUCGGAUGAAGCCCCGU